rnacentral:rRNA from 1 species
UUAAACUGGUUUGGGAAAACCAAAUAUAUUAUAUAUUUUGCUUUGUUCAAAAUAAGGUUUUCUAAUAAAUUAUGUUUUUAUCAGAUAUGACAGAAUCUUUUUUAAAAUCUCUUCAAUAUGCUUUUAUUGCUUUUGAGAGGUUUUGUUACUUUGAGUAAAAUUAAGUGUUCAUAACAGACGGGUAGUCAUGAUUGAGUUCAUUGUGUA